AACAUCUGAAUUCAUGAAAGGGAGAGUCUCUGGAGGGCGGGGCCGAGGAAGAGCGGAGCCGUAGCCGUCCAAUCCCAGUGGAGAGGAGAGGAGUAGCAGCUGAAGAUAUCUUGGCCAAUCACCUGCAAGCAACCGCACACUCAAAUUUACAUACUCAGACACAGGCUGACAAGCCUGGGCC